rnacentral:rRNA from 1 species
UACGGAGGAGGCAAGCGUUAUCCGGAAUUAUUGGGCGUAAAGCGUCCGUAGGUGGCUCUUCAAGUCUGCUGUCAAAGAGUGGGGCUUAACCCUGCAAAGGCAGUGGAAACUGAAAGGCUAGAGAGCCGUAGGGGUAGAGGGAAUUCCCGGUGUAGCGGUGAAAUGCGCAGAUAUCGGGAGGAACACCGGUGGCGAAGGCGGUUCUCUGGGCCUUACCUGACGCUGAGGAGCGAAAGCGUGGGGAGCGAACAGG